rnacentral:lncRNA from 1 species
CUGGAGCAUGAGAAUGAAAGUCGCCACCACCCUUGCUCAAGGAAUUGCGCAAGUAGCGUUAAUAUUAUCUGCAUCUCCAUUGUAGAUUAGGAAUAAAUAUUUUAAUUUAUCCUUGAGAUGGAUUAUUUUUGUUAGAAAUGUGCAUUUAUUCUUUAAAUCUUGUCAUACAUCCCUUCUUUGACAUGAGCAUGAGCUCAUAUAUACAUGUUUGGAUUCACGUCAAUUGGAGGAUGUUAUC